rnacentral:rRNA from 1 species
AUUGAACGCUGGCGGCAGGCUUAACACAUGCAAGUCGAGCGGGGGGAGGUAGCUUGCUACCGGACCUAGCGGCGGACGGGUGAGUAAUGCUUAGGAAUCUGCCUAUUAGUGGGGGACAACAUCUCGAAAGGGAUGCUAAUACCGCAUACGUCCUACGGGAGAAAGCAGGGGAUCUUCGGACCUUGCGCUAAUAGAUGAGCCUAGGUCGGAUUAGCUAGUUGGUGGGGUAAGGGCCUACCAAGGCGACGAUCUGUAGCGGGUCUGAGAGGAUGUUCCGCCACACUGGGACUGGAACACGGCCCAGACUCCUACGGGAGGCAGCAGUGGGGAAUAUUGGACAAUGGGGGGAACCCUGAUCCAGCCAUUCCGCGUGUGUGAAGAAGGCCUUAUGGUUGUAAAGCACUUUAAGCGAGGAGGAGGCUACUUUAGUUAAUACCUAGAGAUAGUGGACGUUACUCGCAGAAUAAGCACCGGCUAACUCUGUGCCAGCAGCCGCAGUAA